rnacentral:rRNA from 1 species
CGUCUAUAUACGUAUAGCAUAUCAAUAAGCGGAGGAAAAGAAACUAACAAGGAUUCCCUUAGUAACGGCGAGUGAAGCGGGAAGAGCUCAAAUUUGAAAUCUUCAAGGAUUCUACCUUGACGAAUUGUAGUUUAAAGAAGUGUUUUCUGUUAGAGGAGUAGCAAAAGUUCCUUGGAAUGGGACAUCAUAGAGGGUGAGAAUCCCGUAUUUGGUUAUUCUUUCUAGCUUUGUGAUACACUUUCAAUGAGUCGGAUUGUUUGGGAAUGCAGGUCCAAAAUGGGUGGUAAAUUUCAUCUAAAGCUAAAUAUUGGCGAGAGACCGAUAGCGAACAAGUACCGUGAGGGAAAGAUGAAAAGAACUUUGAAAAGAGAGUUAAACAGUACGUGAAAUUGUCAAAAGGGAAGCGUUUGACACCAGUGUUGUUUUUCCGAAAAUCAAUUAAGAGUGGCUUGAUUUUGUGUUGUAUUGACCUUAUCAGCUUUCUUCACUCUUUUUCGAGUCUUUCUUAAUGCACUUUUCGGUUAACAAGUCAACAUCAAUUUCUUUUGUUGUAAAAGGGUAUUUGGAAGGUGGCUUUCUUUUCGGAGAAAGUGUUUAUAGCCUUAUACCUCUACAAUCGGAGAGAUUGAGGUCUGCAGCGUAGAUCCUUCGGGGCUAGAUACACUUGUGCUAAGUUAUAGCUUUUCAUAGACAACUUGUUGACUAUGUUUAGUCAUGUAGCUUACCCGCUUGUGCUAUUUUACCUACGCUUAGGAUGUUGAGUCAUCACACAUCUCU